AACGAACGCUGGCGGCAUGCCUAACACAUGCAAGUCGAACGAAACCUCCGGGUCUAGUGGCGCACGGGUUCGUCACGCGUCGGAACCUGCCCUUAGGUUCGGCAUAACUCUCAGAAUGGGGUGCUAAUACCGGAUCAUGUCUUCGGCCCAAGGAUUUAUCGCAUUUGGUUGGGCCCGCGUGGGAUUAGCUAGUUGGUAGGGUAAAAGCCUACCAAGGCGCCGAUUCAUAGCUUGUCAGAGAGGAUGAGCAGCCACACUGGGACUGAGACACGGCCGAGACUCCUACGGGAGGCAGGAGUGGGGAAUAGUGGACAGCGGGGGAAGGGCUGAUGGAGCAAGGCUCGGUAAGUGAUGAUGGUCUUAAGGUAGUAAAGCGCAUUUAACCGGGAUGAUAAUGACAGUACCGGGUGAAUAAGCUCCGGCUAACUCCGUG
rnacentral:rRNA from 1 species